AUAAUUUCAGCUGAAGUUUUCGUGUACCUGACCAACUAGGUGCUCGUGACAAAUAAAAUUGUCUAAUCCAAUAAUGCAAGUUGGCAAGCUAUGUCUUCUGAAGCUAAACAAUUUCUGUUGCAAGAUUUUGUAUAUCUUCAAGCUAUUGAUGCCUUCGCCAGAUCCAAUUCUUUGCUGCUAUCUAUUUUGCGGCACAACAACAAGAAAAUACUGCCCCUUAAGAUUUUGUGGUAAUCGCCACUUAGUUCUAAUUUAGGAGGACAAUGUUAAUCCCUCUCCUCUGUUUUGGAAACUGACAAGAGAUUGCUGGAAUUGAAGACUGAUAAUUUGUGUAGACUUGUGCAUAUCAGGCUCCCUUCUUUUCUGUGGCCCUGUUUCCUUAACUAACCACUAACCAACGCCCGCCGGUGGUCACUCAUCCGCUGUGAAAAGCAGGAGGAGGGGAGGGCUCUGGUCGAACGGGGCCUUGGAAGGUGCAUGAUCCGAGAAAAACUUUUGGGAGGGUCAUGACACUCUUAAUAUGAGAAUUUAACCAGGAAUCUUACCAUGACCACAUCUUCCCAGUAAAACUGGCCUCGCACUAUUUAGUUUACUGUCCGCAUUCAAUCAGGGCAGGUUUUGUAUUGUACAAUAGAGUAAAAUGAUUUUUU